GACGAACGCUGGCGGCGUGCUUAACACAUGCAAGUCGAACGGAAAGGCCCUGCUUGCAGGGUACUCGAGUGGCGAACGGGUGAGUAACACGUGGGUGAUCUGCCCUGCACUUCGGGAUAAGCCUGGGAAACUGGGUCUAAUACCGGAUAGGAGCCAUUUUUAGUGUGAUGGUUGGAAAGUUUUUUCGGUGUAGGAUGAGCUCGCGGCCUAUCAGCUUGUUGGUGGGGUAAUGGCCUACCAAGGCGGCGACGGGUAGCCGGCCUGAGAGGGUGGAAGGCCACAUUGGGACUGAGAUACGGCCCAGACUCCUACGGGAGGCAGCAGUGGGGAAUAUUGCACAAUGGGCGCAAGCCAGAUGCAGCGACGCCGCGUGGGGGAUGACGGCCUUCGGGUUGUAAACUCCUUUCGCUAGGGACGAAGCUUUUUGUGACGGUACCUAGAUAAGAAGCACCGGCUAACUACGUG
rnacentral:rRNA from 1 species